rnacentral:rRNA from 1 species
AUGGCCGGUGCGAGUGGUUUAGUUGCUUUUCUUCUUCUUUCAUCCAUGAUAGUCUCCGCAGCAGCACCUGCAACAUUAAUACCAAGAUGUGGCGAAUAUUUUCAUUCAUGGGGUGAGCACGACUCCUGCAUUCCUCCUGAAAAUGAUGAGUGCGACUCAUGGUGCAAGAAUCGAUGUGCCAGAGGGGUAUGCGAGCUCAAGCGAGGAAAACAUUAUUGCCAUUGUUACAAGAACUGA